CACUUUUCAAGUAUAUGUCAAAAAGCCCAAGUGAGAUUAAAUGCUCUCUACUGUUUAGAAAAUGUGCCUAAAUGCCUAGUGUUGGCUAUGUAGUUGUCUUUCAGGUAACUGAGAUUGGGCAAAACUAAAAACCUUUAAGGAACAAAGUUUUAAAUUUCAGUUGUGGGAGUUGCUUUCAUUGAAAGCUAUGGAUUGUGUAUAUCAUGUCAUAUCAUUAAUUAAAUUAAUUAAUUGUAGAGCUGAGAAGAGCAAGGCAUGAGGCAUCUGCUAGUCCUUGGAGUUUGAGGUAGGCCUGUUCUGUGCCCAAUGCUCUGUUGUCAAACAAGAAGUUGAAAAGUGAGCGUAGAGAAGCACAGCCCAAUGCACAAGAGCUUUGCUGUGGAGAGACCAUUCAAGGCUUCACUUUGAGCUUCUCAUGAAUCUUACUCAUCUUGUGGAAAUUGGCCUAUAGAAUUCCCCAGAAGUGAAUUUUUUGUACUUCUGUAGCUUUUGCUAAUUCUUUCCUCUGAUAGCUUUGUUUUUAAACUGGUUGUUUAGUAAAGAAAUAAGAUUUUCUUAGAAGGCACUUCUGUUGAUAACUCUCAACAUUUUUGAAAGAUAGUUUAGACACUUCUCUCUGUAUUUGAGCACUGGAGACAUACCUUCAUUUUCAGAAGUACUGACAGCCUGCAGCUUUCACUAGUCUCAGCUUCAGGUUCUCAAAAACCAGGAGUCAUCACUAGUAUGAUUUAAAUAUCGUGGCCCAAAACAGCUUUUUUGUACUUCUUCUGUUGCAUCUUUAUACAGAUACUGUUGAAAUUAAUGUUACAGAUUUUUGAGACAGCCAGCUAGUACUAAUGAAAGCUCGAGAAGCACUGAACAUGUAUAUAUCACACAAAUGUUUCACUGUUAGCUGGAACUACAGCUGAAGUGGGCCACCUUUAUUUUUCUAAAAGCAAACGACUAUCCCCCUAACAACUGGGAUAGGUUGCUGUAGCCAUGCACUAUAAUAAUGGUCUACAAAACAGGUAACUAUAUGAAGAGGUAAACUCUGUAAGUAUAUGCAUUUUUCUCAAGAUAGGUAGAAUUAAAUGUUGGAGAAUACUCAGCCUGUAGCUAAUAGACAUAAGGCAUUAUGGACCACACUAGUAAUAAUGAAAGCUGUCAGCUACUCCCAGACCUUACUGGUGAGUUCUGUAGGUAUGUCUGUAACUAACCCCUCUGCAGCAUGGAAGUUUGGGUAUCUAAUCUCUCCUUAUAACUCUGAUACAGAGAUAAAUGUUUAGCUAGGGCUGAAUCUAGCCUUUAGGCUGUGUCCUGAACUCUCUUCUCUCUCAAAGUCAGAUAUUAUUUUUAGCUUUUAUUGACCUGACCAUCUGACUCCACUCAGCAUUUGUUUCUGGUUAAAUGCACUGCUCCCUGUCUAGGUCUAAGCUGACUUACCAAAGAAGUUGUGUUCUUCAGCCAUGAAAUGGGUUUUUAUUACUGAGGUCCACAGUGCAGAUCAUUGGAAGUUAUGUAAUAAUAUGAAAGGACAUAUAAUUGAAAGGCUGUCAGGAGAUAAAAGGGUAUCAAGCUUCCCAGAGCAUUCACAUUGCAGCUCCUGAAUCUGGCUGACAUUGAAAGAGCGAUUCAGUGUUCAAUGCCAGCCCCUCUGGUAGCAGCGCUGCUCCUCUUCAGUGAUGCCUGUUGAAACAGCACAGAAUUUAAUACAGGAGUCUUCCAUUAAAGACAUUAGCUGCUGCAUUUCACAGUUACUUCUAGCUCAGUUCACCUGCUGGGGGCAUGGCACUUUGUCCUUGAGUAGGCAGGAUUGCCUUCAUCCUGUUCUUCCAACUGGAGCAGAGAGGAAGUAGAGUGUGAGUACAUAUGGAGCAACACACAACAAGUGAGUAACUGCAAUACAGGCAUAUAUUAUUCUUGGAUUUGUUUUAAAUGUCAAGCAAUAAUACAUGAGUAGUAAAAGUAAGACUUUAACUAUCCUGACAUUCUCCUAAAUGUGCAGUAAAACCAUAAGAGAUGCCUGUAUUUACUACAGAUAAUAAAACUGGAGCGUUACGCUAAUCAAAUUCAAAUCAGUUCAACUGCAUAAUUUUCAGUGAAUAGGUGCUUAUAAAACACAGAAUGAACUCCAGAAGGGAAGGUUCAUUGCUUCCUAAUCAAAAGCAGUCAGCUUUAAACACCAGCCAGUCAGGUGAUAGGUUUGUCAUUUCUCAGCUGUGCUCUUGGAGGGAAUUUGCCAAGAAGGCUUGACAAAAGAGCAUUUUUUGCCUGUUUCUGAACAUCAUGUUGAGCUACAAAAAACUCCUGGGACACUGGGAGGAGAGGCAGAAUAACAGCAGUUCUAUUAAAAUAUAUUUGCUGCAAUGAAUGUCAAGCAGAAUUUAUGAUGCGAAGAGACAAGUAUUUCCUGAAAAAACAUGUUGACCCCCCUCAGGUCUGAUUGUUUCUUGUCUAAUGAUGUCCAGCUACUCUGGGGGACUGAGGAGUGUCAAUGAUUAAUUGCCUGGGUGUCAGAGAAAUAAAAACUUGUAAUGCAUCAUUAAAAGCUAGAAAUCAGGGUGUCUGAACUACCAUGGGUAGCUUAAAAUUAAUAUAUUACUGCUAUGUACAAUUAACAGCCCAAGUCAGAAAUCAUUUGCUUUCAUAAUUUAGAACAAUGGCAGCUCUCCAGUGGAAACGUAUUUACAGUCAUUUUACAUUGCUUUCUAGAGGGUUCAUAUGGAAGGGAGAGACAAAAAUUAAUAUGCACCGAGGCAGUUAAAGAGAAACCUGUCUUUGAACUGUUCUUUCAUUUUAAUCAGCAUGAGCUCUGCUAAAUAGGGAAAAGAAUUAUGAGUAGGAGGCUAGCAUCUAGGUUACUGAGGGCAAAUCACUCUCAGGGGAAUAAGUUUGCAACCUGAGCAACAGAGUCUGAGCUGUGCAUGAUUUAGGAUGAACAGAUCUUUGUUUUAACCCAGCAUGAACAUCAGUGGCAAGGUGGCCAACCUGAAGUCUCUCUACCAACUUCCCCCACAUGAAGGUCUGUUCUCCCCUCCAAUGGCCAUUGUAACACUGUGCUCAAAGAGUUUUUCAGUAUCUUUUAUUUCUAUUUUCCAGUGUCUUUCUAAUGUCAUUCUAGUGUUUUCUAUUUCACAUCUUCAGCUGUGGGAUCUCAUACAUGUUUUAGUAAUUUUUGGUAUGGGUUGAGUCCCAUUAAGCUUCUUAAAUUCUUAAAUGGCUUCUUGGAGGGAUUUUGUUGGAUUUUUUUUCUUAUAACUUAGGUUAUAAAAGUAACACCAUAAACAUUAAUUGAAGGGCCAUUAAGCAGUAGGACUGUUUGUUUUGGGUUGAUAGAGGACAUAAAACUUCAUACCCUGUGGUGGAAAACAAUUAGAUCUGAUGAUGAACAUGCUAUUAAAUAUACCAUUACCAGACUUCUAUCAGCUUAACUUUAGAAAAUAGCAACCAGCUGUAGUCAAAGCAUACACAAAUGAUACAAAGUCGUAUUUUAACUGUCAUGUCAUAGCCUGUUAUAAAUAUUGUCAUUUCUAAUGUUUUAUGCUAAUGACAGUGACUAAUAGUAGUCAUUACCUCUGUUCCUUCUCAUAAAGAUUUCCUCUAGAGAGUGUGAUCACAGCUAAAAUGCUGUUAAAAAUUAAAUUUUAUUUCUCUAAAAUAGAUGACAUAAAAAUAUUUAAAUACCAAGAGGUUGGCUAACUAUUUUAUUUUGUAAUAGCAUGUGUUUGGCAGCUGCAGCUUUUGUUAAUUGUGCCAUAAGUUGAACAGAUACCCCUCUCAGAAACAUUUUUGGUAUGCUAGCGUGUGUCAUGUCUUCUUAUGGUCUCUCAACAGUGGAAUAAAAGGUGAAUCUCACAGAAGCCAUAAAAAAAGUCUGAUGCUACCCCUGUAGAGGCUUAAUAUUAAGAACAUUGAAUUUUCUCAUCCAUUUCUUAUUUCAGUUAUGAAUUCUGCUUACUUGACAGGUACAGAGUACUUCAUUAUGUGCACGAACAGAAAUGCUUAAAUGGAUGAAGCAGCUAUUUACGUCUGAUAGGAGCUAAGUGGGACAUUAAAUUAAUGCCAAACAAGUUAGUGAGACUUUAAUCAAGGAAAAAAAUCUAAUGAACAGUAAUUUGAAACACAGCAUUUGGAAAGGUCAGAAUGGUACAUUACAUCCUUAUUAUCCAAAAGAACAGAUUAGUUUAAUAUCCUGGGAUCAUUUUCCUGUGAAGAAGAUAUUAAACAAGGACUGAAAAUGGCACAAAGUUCUCGCUUCCUUUUCUAUGACUAAGAUUGUAACAAGAUGAUGGAACUACACAGAAUAAAUCCCUUUCUGCUUUAA